rnacentral:rRNA from 1 species
GACGAACCUGACAAACGUUAUUCGGAAUUACUGGGCUUAAAGGGUGCGUAGGCGGCGCGACAAGUUGGGUGUGAAAUCCCUCGGCUCAACCGAGGAACUGCGCUCAAUACUGUCGUGCUCGAGGGAGACAGAGGUGAGCGGAACUUAGGGUGGAGCGGUGAAAUGCGUUGAUAUCCUAAGGAACACCGGUAGCGAAAGCGGCUCACUGGGUCUUUUCUGACGCUGAGGCACGAAAGCUAGGGUAGCGAACGGG